CCUUCCCAUCUGGUGGUCGCUCCUUUCACCACCCCUUCCCCCACCUCCCGACUGAGCCCUUUCUCUACCCCGGCCUCUCCCGUACUUCCUCCGCUCACAUUCCCAGUGGCACCUCUGCGUCCUAAACCCUAUGCUCUACCUUUCCCGCUGACCCUCACUCUGCCCCAUCCUCCCUGACGGUAUCUGAUCUGAAACAUGUGCUGUAGAUUAAGCGAGUUCGAUGGCGGCAACAAGGAGCGAUGACAACGGCGUCUUGGGUGCGCUAGAUCCGGCAUGGAUUUCAACAUCGACAGUAGCCUUGUCGGAGCAGAGCAGCUGUGUGAUGGCCGGUAUACCGCGACGACUCGCUGGAGGCCGCAGCGAACUCUAGUGGCCACUCGCCCCUUGUUACCAGCUCAACGCGUUCGACUGGAGGCAGAGCAAUACUGUCAACAAGAUAAGUACCAGAGCAGCUGCGGUGAGUGUGCACAGCGGCAGAUAUGCAUGCUGAGCGUGAAGUUUGUGAAAUUUGUUUGAGGGCCAUCCUGUCAAGUCCAUCAUGAAGAAAGGGAAGCUAUUGAUUUAUGGGAGCAUUUUCAGCAACAAAGACUUGUGUUUUUACGACUUCGGUCUGGACGGGCGGAUCUGUGGCUAGAAAAGCGGAUUGAUGGGGGCGGUGUUGGCUGUAGAGUAGCAUAGUGUUCUCUAAAACAUGCUUGUAAACUUGAUGUUUUCUGGGUAUUUUGUUUUUGGUCCUGUAGUGGUUUACUUUUGGUUGUGUUUGUGUAAUUUUCUUUUUUAAUGACAUGACCAUAUAUUUUUUGUAAAAUUCUUAUUCGCUUAAAGUUUCAAUGGAU